CCUACGGGAGGCUGCAGUGAGGAAUAUUGGUCAAUGGCCGGAAGGCUGAACCAGCCAAGUCGCGUGAGGGAAUAAGGCCCUAUGGGUCGUAAACCUCUUUUGUCAGGGAGCAAAGGCGUCCACGUGUGGACGAGAGGAGAGUACCUGAAGAAAAAGCAUCGGCUAACCCCGUGCCAGCAGCCGCGGUAAUACGGAGUAUGCGAGCUUUAUCGGGUUUUUUGGGGUUAAAAGGGUGCGUAGGCGGUCGGUUAAGUCAGCGGUAAAGUUGCGGGGCUAAACCCCGACGAGCCGUUGAAACUGGCAGACUUGAGUUGGCGAGAGGUAGGCGGAAUGCGUGGUGUAGCGGUGAAAUGCAUAGAUAUCGCGCAGAACUCCGAUUGCGAAGGCAGCGUACCGGCGCCAGACUGACGCUGAGGCACGAAAGCGUGGGGAUCGAACAGGAUUAGAUACCCCGGUAGUC
rnacentral:rRNA from 1 species